rnacentral:rRNA from 1 species
ACAUCUUUUCUUGUUAUUUAUUUGAGAUUUGACCUGCCCAAUGAUUUAUUUAAUGGCCGCGGUAUUUUGACCGUGCAAAGGUAGCAUAAUCAUUAGUCAUUUAAUUGUUGACUUGUAUGAAUGGUUGGACGAAGUAUUAACUGUCUUAUUUAUAUUAUUAGAACUUAAAUUUUGAGUUAAAAUGCUUAAAUAUUUUUAUAGGACGAGAAGACCCUGUAGAUCUUUAUUUACUUGAUUUUUAUAUUUUUUGGUUUAUUUAUUUAUAAUUAUUAUUUAUUUUUUGUUGGGGUGACAAGGAGAUAAAAUUAACUCUUUAUUUUUAUUAACACUGAUUUGUGAUUCUUUGACCUUUUAUUAAUGUUAUAAGAUUUAGAUACCUCAGGGAUAACAGCGUAAUUCUUUUUGAGAGUUCAUAUCGACAAUAGAGAUUGCGACCUCGAUGUUGGAUUAAGAUUAUCAAUAGGUGUAGGUGCUUAUUAAUUAAGUCUGUUCGACUUUUAAAAUCUUACAUGAUCU